rnacentral:rRNA from 1 species
AGUAACGCGUGGAUAACCUGCCUUACACUGGGGGAUAACACUUAGAAAUAGGUGCUAAUACCGCAUAAGCGCACAGAGCCGCAUGGCUCAGUGUGAAAAACUCCGGUGGUGUAAGAUGGAUCCGCGUCUGAUUAGCUGGUUGGCGGGGUAGAAGCCCACCAAGGCGACGAUCAGUAGCCGGCCUGAGAGGGUGAACGGCCACAUUGGGACUGAGACACGGCCCAAACUCCUACGGAAGGCAGCAG